GAUGAACGCUGGCGGCGUGCCUAAUACAUGCAAGUCGAGCGGACGGACGAUAAUCUUGCUUCUCUCAUGUUAGCGGCGGACGGGAGAGUCACACGUGUAUAACCUACCUAUAUUACUGAUAUAAUUUCGGGACACCGGCUCAAAUACCGGAUAAUAUUUUGAACCGCAUGGUUCAAUAGUGAAAUACGGCCUUGCGGUCUCUAAUCGAUGGUUCCGCGCUGCUUUGGAUAGUUGGUAAGGUAACGGCUUACCAAGGCAACGAUGCAUGGCCGACCUGAGGGGGUGAUCGGCCACACUGGAAGGGAGACACGGUCAAGACUCCUAAGGGAGGCAGCAGAGGCGAAUCGUCGGCAAUGGGGGGGAGCCUGACGCAGCAAGGGCGAGUGAGUGAUGAAGGUCUUCGGAUCGUAAAAACCUGUUAUUAGGGAAGAACAGAUGUGUAAGUAGCUGUGCAGAUCGUGACGGUACCGAGUCAGAAAGCCCCGGCUAACUACGUG
rnacentral:rRNA from 1 species